UGGUUGCAUCUGUACCGAUGGGCCAAAU
rnacentral:piRNA from 1 species